rnacentral:rRNA from 1 species
AUUGAACGCUGGCGGCAGGCCUAACACAUGCAAGUCGAGCGGAGCGGCAGACGGGUGAGUAAUGCCUAGGAAUCUGCCUGGUAGUGGGGGAUAACGUCCGGAACCGGGCGCUAAUACCGCAUACUAUCAGAUGGGCCUAGGUCGGAUUAGCUAGGUGGUGGGUUAAAGGCCUACCAAGGCGACGACCCGGAACUGGUCGGAAGGGAGGAUCAGUCAAACGGGAACUGAGACACGGUCCAGACUCCUACGGGGGGCAGCAGUGGGGAAUAUUGGACAAUGGGCGAAAGCCUGAUCCAGACAUGCGGCGUGUGUGAAGAAGGUCUUCGGAUUGUAAAGCACUUUAAGUUGGGAGGCGUUACCAGCAGAAUAAGCACCGGCUAACUUCGUGCCAGCAGCCGCGGUAAUAC